UACGAAGGGUGCAAGCGUUACUCGGAAUCACUGGGCGUAAAGCGUGCGUAGGCGGUUCGUUAAGUCUGCUGUGAAAGCCCUGGGCUCAACCUGGGAACUGCAGUGGAUACUGGCGGACUAGAGUGUGAUAGAGGAUGGUGGAAUUCCCGGUGUAGCGGUGAAAUGCGUAGAGAUCGGGAGGAACACCAGUGGCGAAGGCGGCCAUCUGGAUCAACACUGACGCUGAGGCACGAAAGCGUGGGGAGCAAACCGG
rnacentral:rRNA from 1 species